AAGAAGUGAGGAUGUAGAGUUUGCAGUUGUGAGAUUCAACUUCUGCUUCCAUGGAUUCGUAGAAUACAUCUGGUAAGUAUUCAUGCUGAAAUAAAAUAAUAUAAGAAUUCAGAGAGAGUAAAGAAAGUUGAAAAUAGAACAAGUUGUGAUUUGUUUUAUCAAUUGGCAGUUACCUUCCAUAUGUCUCUUACAGUAAAACUGGAAGAUGGUUUGAGACCAAGGAUAUCCCAUUUGGCUGUGAUGAUUACAGUAAUGGAACAUCGAUUCCACAAGGCAAUCACUACACGGUUUUCAGAUAGAGGACCUCCCCAAACCUUGAAAUGAGGAAAUGAUUGUCGUUUAGGAUUAUUCUUUAUAUUUCUGAAGAAAUUUUUUAUAGGAAUGAAAUGUGUUUAUAUGAUGCAGACCUGACUGCAACCAUCUUUUCCUUCGGAAAAUAAUUUUCUUCCUUGAACGCCAAGUUGAUCUAGGAGAAGAAGGAAAAUUUCAUAUCAAUAAAUAAAUUACAGAUAGAUUUGAAGAAGUAGAUGUUACAGAGAACAGAAACCUUGAUUCACGGAGAUGACCUCUUCGUUGCUCAAGAUUUCUAAUGUAUCGGAAGUCAUAUUUCGUACAUCACAGCCAAUCAAAAGUGGAGCCUGAAACCCAAUUAGGAUAUUCAUUUAAAAAGUAAUCAAAAUUAAUUUACUAAAAUUCAAAAACACACCUUCAUCAGUGCCCAAAUACUAAAAUGUGCACGAUAUUCCUGUUUAGUCAUACCACCAUUGCCAACCUCCAGCAUAUCAGGAUCUAGACAGAAAAUCCAUAGAUGGAUGAGUGGAUGAAUUGUCUUAAGAUAUAAAUUGUGAGAUUACCAUUCCAUCCACCAGGACCUGCAUAGGCUGCCCACUUGUCAUUGAGAUCAGCAAUGGUAGUCAUGCUAAAGGUUGUAAGGAAUUUAGAAACUUAUAAUGAAACUAAAUGAUAGAACAUUUAAAAUCUACCACCUUUCCCAGGAGUCUAUAAUAUCAUCUGUUGUUCUCCAACUGUUACCAACUGGUCUAGCCCAUAAGGCAGGGUCUUCUUCACCCCUAAAGAAAGAAGAAUACUGAGAAGUUGCUUUUUAAGAAGAAGAAAAAUCAACAUUUCUUAAAUAUAAAACGAUUAUGUUUGUUAUUACCAUUCACAGAGGGAGUAAAAUAUGGUCCUGCCGGUUGAAUUCAAUGCAUCACGCAUAGGAGGGUAACUAGGAAGUAAAUGAAAGUAAAUUAUUUGUAGAAAGGAAAUAUGCAUUUUUCCUAUCUAUGUGUGUGAUUAUUUAGAUAAAGAUAAUGGGAAUAUUAAUACCGUUUCUGCGGAUCAAUUCCCAAAUUAAAGCAGUUAUCAUACUUUAAAUAGUCGAUUCCCUGUAAAAAAAUGAAAGUGAUUCAAUGUAUGUUUAGUGUUUACAAAAUGCUUUGAUAUCAAAUUAAUAGCAUUACCCAAGAUGCGAAAAGAUUUGCAUCUUUAAUCUCAUGGAAAAGAGAUCCAGGUCGCAGUUGACAUGUUAAAGCCCUGAAAUUUUCAUUAUCAUAAGGUAGAAUUGAAUGAAUAUAAUGGUAAAAUAAUAAUUAUUUUAAUAUCAUAAUGACAGACUCUACCCGGCAUCGGAGUAUAAACCAAGUUUUAAACCAUUUUCAUGCAUGUAAUCCGCAAGUGCUUGUAUGCCAGAAGGAAAAUCUUUAUGAUCAGGUACCAAAUCCCCCUAAAAAUUGAAGAAUAAGUGAAUGUAUUUUUUUAUGUUAAAAAGGUGGUUAAAAUGCUCAUCCUAAAUUUCUAACCUUUAAAUUCCGAAGAAAAGCAGACCAGCAGUCAUCUGCCAUGAAUAACCAGAAGAAGAUGGAAGUAAAUAAAUAUGUCAGUCAGAGUGUGUAUCUUAAUUUAGUCAUGUAUUAGUGUGAUGUUAGUGGCAUAAUUAGUGUGUUACAUGACUUUGUGGGUAGUUAACUAGUUAUAGUUCAAUGAAUAUAUAUAACCUCAUGAGACGUCUUAUAAUGUUGAUAUCUUUGAAAUGUCUAAAGAUAGGUAAAGAAUCAUAGAAUGGUCUUCUAUUUGCUUGGUCUUGUUUGCAUGUUCAGUAAAAAUAAUAUAGCCUCAUGAGUUUGAUCUAACUAUCUAAAGAAUGAAUGAAAGAUCAAUUUAGUUUAUGUUUAGUUUAAUUGAGAUUAUAAGUAUAUAAACCAGUACUCUGUACAUAUAUACUGUUUUACCUUACCUAUAUUGAUGUAUGUGUAUCCAAGUGCAGCUAGCCCAGUUGAGAUCAUUGCAUCCGCUGUUCAGGAGAAAACAUCGACAAAUAAACUUACACAUUUAGAUUUAAAUGAAGAAGAAGUUGACAAGUGCUAACCUGUUUCUUUGAUCACUG
rnacentral:lncRNA from 1 species